AGAGAUUGGAAUAAGUCUUACAUAUUACAAAAUUAAAGAAAAUGCUGCUGAGUACUAUGGAAAGGAGCUAAGUUAGAAGGCUACUUUCAAGGCCAGAAAGACCAUUUACAUCCACCUUGUCCUGGAUUCAGGAAAAAAGGUUUGUCUCAUAGGUUGAACUGAUGCACCUCUGCAAACAGGAGAAUAUCAGUGCUCUUACCGAAAGCAAACUUUUGUUCUGAG